UCAAAGUCAUCUCACAAAGUCGACGUCAGGACAUGGCUGAUUUACAACGAAAACUUUUAACGCAAACGCCGGAAUGGCAAGCGUUGCAAGAAUAUUAUAACAAGAAUGGGACAUCUAUUAAUAUGCCUCAAAUGUUCAAGGAUGAUCCAAAGCGUUUUGACAAAUAUAGUAAAACACUGAAGUACAAGGAUGGCAGUAUGCUGUUUGACUUUUCAAAAAACCUGAUAAAUGAUGAUGUGAUGAGACUGCUGUUUAAUGUGGCAAAGGAACGACAAGUGGAGAAGAUGAGAGAUGCUAUGUUUACUGGAGAAAAAAUAAAUUUCACUGAAAUGCGAUCUGUGCUACACAUUGCCCUGCGCAAUCGAUCAAAUACACCAAUCAAGGUGGACGGCAAUGAUGUUAUGCCAGGUGUUAACAAAGUUCUCCAACACAUGCGCGAGUUUACAGAGUCAGUUCGGACUGGUGCUUGGAAAGGCUAUAGUGGCAAAGCCAUCACAGAUAUUAUCAACAUUGGCAUUGGAGGAUCUGAUCUGGGACCAGUAAUGGUGACAGAAGCUCUGCGCCCAUUUAAGUGUGGUCCAACUGCUCACUUCAUUUCCAAUAUUGAUGGAACCCAUUUGGCCGAAAUCCUGAAGAAACUGAAUCCUGAAACCAGUCUGUUUAUUAUAGCAUCAAAGACGUUCACAACUCAGGAAACGAUAACAAAUGCUACAUCAGCAAAGACUUGGUUUCUUGAUCAUGCCAAAGAUCCAAAAGCAGUAGCUAAGCAUUUUGUUGCCCUGUCAACCAAUACUGCUAAAGUUAAGGAUUUUGGCAUUGAUGAGAAAAACAUGUUUGAAUUCUGGGAUUGGGUUGGUGGAAGGUACUCACUUUGGUCUGCCAUUGGAAUGUCUAUUGCUCUUAACAUCGGCAUGGACAAUUUUGAAAGUCUUUUAGAGGGAGCUCACUUCAUGGACAAACACUUCUCCACAGCACCACUGACUGAAAAUAUUCCCAUCAUAUUGGCUAUGCUUGGUGUGUGGUAUCACAACUUUUACAAAGCAGAAUCCUUUUCCAUUUUACCAUACGACCAGUACAUGCACAGAUUUGCAGCCUACUUCCAGCAGGGAGAUAUGGAAAGCAAUGGAAAGUAUGUCACUCGCAGUGGUCAAAGGGUUAACUACACAACUGGCCCGAUCGUGUGGGGAGAACCAGGAACCAAUGGGCAGCAUGCAUUCUACCAGCUCAUUCAUCAAGGUACACGAUUGAUUCCAUGUGAUUUCAUCAUGCCAGUUGAGACACACAACCCUGUACAGAAAGGAUUACAUCACGAGAUCCUUCAAGCCAACUUCCUGGCUCAGACUGAAGCACUUAUGACUGGCAAGUCACGUGAGAUAGCCGAGGAAGAGUUGAAGACUUCCGGAAUGAGCAAAGAAAAUAUUGCACACAUCUUACCACACAAGGUAUUUGAAGGAAAUCGACCCACCAACUCGUUUUUGGUUCAGAAGAUUACUCCAUUUACAUUAGGACUGUUAAUUGCAAUGUAUGAACACAAGAUAUUUAUUCAAGGUCAGAUCUGGGAUAUCAACUCCUAUGACCAGUGGGGUGUGGAGCUUGGAAAGCAGCUGGCCAAAGUUAUUCAGCCUGAACUGAAAGAUAGCAAAACAGUCAGUAGCCACGACUGUUCGACAAAUGGACUGAUCAAUUUUCUCAAAGAAAACAGGAAGUGAAAUUUGUUUUUACGUGUUGCUGUUUUGUUGAUUAACAUUUGUAUUUUUACUUAAACCAACGUGAUUGGCUUGUACCCAUAUAUCUGUAACCCAAGCAGGGCCUUUCAGUUUAGAAGUGCCCUUUUUGUCGAGCUGGUGAAGACUGUAUAUUUCAGGACCUCCCACCCUCUGGCAGAUAAUAUUCAUGAUUUUUAAACAAGGUGUAUUGCUGUAUAUUACGAAUAGAGAUAUAUGAAGCCAACAAGAGAUCUGUUCUAGUUUGGAGAAGAGAGACGUUUUCAUACAACAGAUCGAAACAAAACAAAUCAUAUUUACUGUGAUAUUCAGAGCUGUAUUCAUGCUCAUUAAAAUCAAAAUGAUCUCUAUGUAUGACAUGUUUAAGUAGAGUAAAGAAAGAAGUAGAAAGGAAAUUCAUGUAGUCUUAAAACCAAGUGGAUUUUUUUUAUCUGCAAGGUAAAAUACAUGUGGUCGAAUGAUAAAUCAUUAUCUUCAGAAGCUGCAAGUGCUUGAUUAAUGUGGUGUUAAAUGAAAUAUUAAGCACUGGAGCAGGAUGGAGUUCAUUCAUUUUAUUUCAUUUAUACUUAUUUUCGUGCUUAUAUCCAAUUAAGGUUCAAGCACACUGUCCUGGGCAUACACCUCAGCUAUCUGGGCUGUCUGUCUAGGACAGUGGGUUACUUGUUAGUGGGUAGUGAGAGAAGACUUGUAUCAGUGAUGUCAUUAAGAUAGAAGUGACCACUGGUUAUUACCAUUUGCUAUCAAUGUUAAAUUUCAUCUGGUUCAAAAUACCACAGGCAAACAAUUAUUAAUUUCAGUGGUUUAUCUUAUAUAUUAAUUACUGGUAGCAUUAUACAUUUGAAUAAGAUUUUCAAAAACAUGGCAGAGUUUUAACACAGCCAAAGCAAAUUGUAAAAAUAUAAUCAUUCGGGUAGGAAUUGUGUAAUUCUGUAACUGGUGAACAUUUAUUAACUAGGUAGGGAAAAUUACUGGCUAUUCAUGACAUCUCUGUUUAUUCCUGUAUAAAUUGGUUAUUUUGACUUUAUUACAAACCACUCUUUCAUACCAAAAAGUGGCCAUACCAUAUUUGAAGUGCUUACGUUCAUGUACUCGCACACAUACACAUGACCACACAACCACACACACAUACACACAAAACAACAUUCAUACACAAACAUUGUUUUGAGAAGAGGGUAAAGGGAAUUGAAUUUAAUAUGGUGUUAGUUUGCCUAUGCAAGUGGACAUUGUUAAGACUUAUUUAUUUAUUUUUGUUUUUGAUCUAAAUAGUGCAGCUGUGUGAGAUAUUGUGGAACUACAUGUAUUCAGUAGAUGGUGCUUUGUUAUAAACCAGAGCUUUGCUCAUUAUUUUUAUUAUGUCGCUUCCCAUGUCUUGAAAUCAUGAUUUCUCAAAUGUUGUUCUUAACAUAAAAGAUGUCUAGUGUUUGAGGCAAAAAGAUCACUUACCGUAUCAUUAUUCAACAUCUAGAAACCGGGUAAUUUUCAUACUGCGAUCAUCAAACAUUCACAUGUUCAUUUGGACAAAAUGAUUCAAAAUGAAAUAUACUUGUAUUUAUUACUUCUUUGAAGAACAUUUGUAAAACUGUCUUUUUCAAUCAAAAAAUAUUAGGAAAAUUUACUCCUUUGAAUUAACAGAGCUAACUAACUGUAUAAUAAAAUUAUGAACUUUUAGGGCCAAAUUUACAGUCUUGUUUAUGUCUUACACACGUGUAACUACAGGCUUCAUAAAUUCGGAUAUUUAUGUUUAAAGCGUAAAACAGAGUGCUCAGAUGUAACCAUAUUUCUACUGUUGUUAUAGUUUUGAAUUUAUGGUAUAAUUUUACUUAGCAUAGCUUGACGUUUGUGUGAUCUGUUAUAUAUGACCUAUGCAGUCACAACCACAUCCAAGUUUUAUCAGUAGUUAUGCAUGAAUGAUUAUCAUCAUUAUAUAAUUUCAUUUUGUUCUUGUAUCGAACUCGAGUUAAAGCAUUCUAUUCUUGGAACCCAAAUCAACUGACAGGUUAAUGGGAUUAAUGGUUGAGAGAAAACCUGGUAAUACUGUAGGAGCUAUUAUUAUUGAUCAGCAACAUAGGAUUUUUAAACCUAAAAGGCCUUGGUCCUUGAAAAGUAUUGUGGUGGUGUUCUUGCUUAAAAUGUUUUGUUUAUUUACAUCCAUUUGAAUCUCGGUUGUCAUGUCUACAGAAACCUCUUAACACAAGCAUUUUUGGUGCGUGCCACAAUUUUGAUGAAUUGCAUUCUGUCAAAUUGUGAUUAUGUUUUAUAAUUUAGAAUUUUGACUGAUCACAAACAUGAUGUUAUAAGCACAUACUUCUCUCCAGGUUAAAAUUUUGUGUUGGAGAAUACCAUACUAAGUAUUAUAUAAUUAUACACUCCAAAAUAUAUUUCACAUCACUACACGUGAAGAAAUUAUCAUUUCAAGCUACAAUCA